rnacentral:rRNA from 1 species
UACGGGGGGGGCAAGCGUUGUUCGGAAUUACUGGGCGUAAAGGGCUCGUAGGUUGCCAACUAAGUCGGACGUGAAAUCCCUCAGCUUAACUGGGGAACUGCGUCCGAUACUGGAAGGCUUGAAUCCGGGAGAGGGAUGCGGAAUUCCAGGUGUAGCGGUGAAAUGCGUAGAUAUCUGGAGGAACACCGGUGGCGAAGGCGGCAUCCUGGACCGGUAUUGACGCUGAGGCGCGAAAGCCAGGGGAGCAAACGGG